rnacentral:rRNA from 1 species
UACGUAGGCAGCGAGCGUUGUUCGGAGUUACUGGGCGUAAAGCGUGCGUAGGCGGUGUCUUAAGUUUGUUGUGAAAUCUCCCGGCUUAACCGGGAGGGUGCGGCGAAUACUGAGAUGCUGGAGUGCCGGAGAGGUAAGCGGAAUUCCUGGUGUAGCGGUGAAAUGCAUAGAUAUCAGGAGGAACACCUGCGGUGUAGACGGCUUACUGGACGGUAACUGACGCUGAGGCACGAAAGCGUGGGUAGCAAACAGG